CUUGUCAAACCCUCAGAAUAUCUGCUGGAUGCCCAGAGAAGCUAACGCCUCACGGUGUCCUUACUGCGGCCUCCUGAUAGAUUAUUUUAUGGAGAAGUUCCUUUCAAUAGAAGAUUACUAAUAUUUUAUAACACUUCCAUAAGCAAAGUGUGAAGAACCAAACACAGCAAAUGAAUCAAAACUAGAAUUGUGAAGACAAGAGUGUCCCUGGGAAGCUGCCAUUAGCCUGAGUUCCUGGAUGACUUCAUGGAGCAGAGCUGUCCACUUCCCUGAAAUGCUGACCUUGGGGCUGUUACCUGAGAGAAGAAUAAAUUUCUUUUUCUUUCAAGCUAUGUUAUUCUUGAUGUCUUCUUGUAGUACUUAGCCACUUGCUUUAUCUAAUGUGGCUCUGAAUUUUGGUUUAACAUCUGGAGU